GACAUAGGUCGCAAAUGUUAUCCGGAAUUAUUGGGCGUAAAGGAUGCGUAGAUGGUUCAGUAAGUUACUGGUGGGAAAUCGAGGCCCAACCUCGUGGAAGUUAGUAAUACUGUUGAACUUGAGUGCAGGAGAGGUUAACGGAACUUCAUGUGGAGCGGUAAAAUGCGUAGAUAUAUGAAAGAACAUCAAUAUAGCGAAGGCAGUUAACUAUUCUGCUACUGACAUUGAGGCAUGAAAGCGUGGGGAGCAAAACGG
rnacentral:rRNA from 1 species